rnacentral:rRNA from 1 species
GAUGAACGCUGGCGGCGUGCCUAAUACAUGCAAGUCGAGCGAACGGACGCGAAGCUUGCUUUUCUGAUGUUAGCGGCGGAAGGGUGAGUAACACGUGGAUAACCUACCUAUAAGACUGGGAUAACUUCGGGAAACCGGAGCUAAUACCGGAUAAUAUUUUGAACCGCAUGGUUCAAAAGUGAAAGACGGUCUUGCUGUCACUUAUAGAUGGAUCCGCGCUGCAUUAGCUAGUUGGUAAGGUAACGGCUUACCAAGGCAGCGAUGCAUAGCCGACCUGAGAGGGUGAUCGGCCACACUGGAACUGAGCCACGGUCCAGACUCCUACGGGAGGCAGCAGUAGGGAAGCUUCCGCAAUGGGCGAAAGCCUGACGGAGCAACGCCGCGUGAGUGAUGAAGGUCUGCGGAUCGUAAAACUCUGUUAUUAGGGAAGAACAUAUGUGUAAGGAACUGUGCACAUCGUGACGGUACCUAAUCAGAAAGCAACGGCUAACUACGUG